GACGAACGCUGGCGGCGUGCUUAACACAUGCAAGUGGAGCGACGAACCAGGGCUUGCCCUGGGGCAGAGCCGCGAACGGGUGAGUAACACGUGGGUAACGUGCCCCGAUGACUGGGACAACCCGGGGAAACCCGGGCUAAUACCGGAUGUGCCCCCUCACAUCAGUGAGGUGUGUAAAGGAAGCUUCGGCCUCCGCAUCGGGAUCGGCCCGCGGCCCAUUAGCUUGUUGGUGAGGUAACGGCUCACCAAGGCUGCGAUGGGUAGCUGGUCUGAGAGGACGAUCAGACAGACUGGGACUGAGACACGGCCCAGACUCCUACGGGAGGAAGCAGUGGGGAAUCUUGCGCAAUGCGCGAAAGCGUGACGUAGCAACGCCGCGUGGGGGAAGACGGACUUCGGGUUGUAAACCCCAUUAAGUUGGGACGAAGGUCGGGCGGUUAACAGCCGUUCCGGAUGACGGUACCUUAACAAGAAGCCCCGGCUAACUACGUG
rnacentral:rRNA from 1 species